rnacentral:rRNA from 1 species
UAGGGAAUAUUGGACAAUGGGGGCAACCCUGAUCCAGCCAUGCCGCGUGAGUGAAGAAGGCCCUCGGGUUGUAAAGCUCUUUUGUCCGGAAAGAAAAGCUUCGGGUUAAUACCCCGGGGUUCUGACGGUACCGGAAGAAUAAGCACCGGCUAACUUCGUGCCAGCAGCCGCGGUAAUACGAAGGGUGCAAGCGUUACUCGGAAUUACUGGGCGUAAAGCGUGCGUAGGUGGUUGUUUAAGUCUGAUGUGAAAGCCCUGGGCUCAACCUGGGAGUGGCAUUGGAAACUGGGCAGCUAGAGUGCGGUAGAGGGUAGUGGAAUUCCCGGUGUAGCAGUGAAAUGCGUAGAGAUCGGGAGGAACAUCUGUGGCGAAGGCGACUGCCUGGACCAGCACUGACACUGAGGCACGAAAGCGUGGGGAGCAAACA